rnacentral:rRNA from 1 species
CCUACGGGAGGCAGCAGUGGGGAAUCUUGCGCAAUGGGCGAAAGCCUGACGCACCAACGCCGCGUGGGGGAUGAGGGCUCUCGGGUUGUAAACCCCUUUCAGCAGGGACGAUUAUGACGGUACCUGCAGAAGAAGGACCGGCCAACUACGUGCCAGCAGCCGCGGUAAU